GAUGAACGCUGGCGGCGUGCUUAACACAUGCAAGUCGAACGAAGCACUUAUCUUUGAUUCUUCGGAUGAAGAGGUUUGUGACUGAGUGGCGGACGGGUGAGUAACGCGUGGGUAACCUGCCUCGUACAGGGGGAUAACAGUUAGAAAUGACUGCUAAUACCGCAUAAGACCACGGAGCCGCAUGGCUCAGUGGGAAAAACUCCGGUGGUAUGAGAUGGACCCGCGUCUGAUUAGGUAGUUGGUGGGGUAACGGCCUACCAAGCCAACGAUCAGUAGCCGACCUGAGAGGGUGACCGGCCACAUUGGGACUGAGACACGGCCCAAACUCCUACGGGAGGCAGCAGUGGGGAAUAUUGCACAAUGGGGGAAACCCUGAUGCAGCGACGCCGCGUGAGCGAAGAAGUAUUUCGGUAUGUAAAGCUCUAUCAGCAGGGAAGAAAAUGACGGUACCUGACUAAGAAGCACCGGCUAAAUACGUGCCAGCAGCCGCGGUAAUACGUAUGGUGCAAGCGUUAUCCGGAUUUACUGGGUGUAAAGGGAGCGUAGACGGCUGUGUAAGUCUGAAGUGAAAGCCCGGGGCUCAACCCCGGGACUGCUUUGGAAACUAUGCAGUUAGAGUGUCGGAGAGGUAAGUGGAAUUCCCAGUGUAGCGGUGAAAUGCGUAGAUAUUGGGAGGAACACCAGUGGCGAAGGCGGCUUACUGGACGAUGACUGACGUUGAGGCUCGAAAGCGUGGGGAGCAAACAAAAUUAGAUCCCCUGGUAGUCCCCGCCGUAAUCGAUCCUAAAAGGGUCGGGGAGCAAAGCUCUUCGUUGCCGCAGCAAACGCAAUAAGUAGUCCACCCGGGGAGGACGUUCGCAAGAAGGAAACUCAAAGGAAUUGACGGGGGGCCGCACAAGCGGUGGAGCAUGUGGUUUAAUUUGAAGCAACGCGAAGAACAUUACCUGCUCUUGACAUCCCGGUGACCGGCAUGUAAUGAUGCCUUUUUUUCGGAACACCGGUGACAGGUGGUGCAUGGUUGUCGUCAGCUCGUGUCGUGAGAUGUUGGGUUAAGUCCCGCAACGAGCGCAACCCUUAUCUUCAGUAGCCAGCAUUUUGGAUGGGCACUCUGGAGAGACUGCCAGGGAUAACCUGGAGGAAGGUGGGGAGGACGUCAAAUCAUCAUGCCCCUUAUGAGCAGGGCUACACACGUGCUACAAUGGCGUAAACAAAGGGAAGCAAACCUGCGAGGGUAAGCAAAUCUCAAAAAUAACGUCUCAGUUCGGAUUGUAGUCUGCAACUCGACUACAUGAAGCUGGAAUCGCUAGUAAUCGCGAAUCAGCAUGUCGCGGUGAAUAAAAUCCCGGGUCUUGCACA
rnacentral:rRNA from 1 species